rnacentral:lncRNA from 1 species
UUUGGACGCGCUUGGCUUUGCUUUCCGCCUCUCCCCAGGAGGGAUGCGUUAAGCCUUUACCUGGACCCAGGCAAAGGGGGUGUAGCUAGCUCCAGCCUUGAAUGUCGCCCGUGGUCACAGAGGCGCCGCAGACCGUAGUGGCCCCGAUCGCCCCUUUCUUAUUUAAUGAUGGUCCCGAGUUGUUCGGCGGGUGCAAGACCUCUUCACACACUGGAUUGUUUGAACGCCCCCAAUACCUGUCCUUUCGGUAGGUGAAGGUCGAUGUUAGGGUGUCAAAAACGGCCAAGCUCGCUGGACCCUGACCAGUUGUAGUUCGCGGUUUUUCGUAAACUUCCUUUCCAAAUAACUCUGAGGAGUGGUUUGUGAGUAAGAAGAAAGAUGAGAAAUUAAGAUUAUAGCUAGUUCAGGGGGGAAAAAGUAUUUAGGAUAAAAUAGCGAGUGAUAAACUGACUGAGAGGAACGGAGGAGAGAACAAGGUCUGUAGGUGUAGCGGAGUUGGUGUAAUGCCUGCCCACAGGGAAAGGCUCCCUUGUCAUCUCGCGCAGUGGAGGUCCAGGCACAGGAUUAGGACUUUUGGAAGGUCAGUGAUCCUUGGUUUACAGACACCCUGGAGCCCUGGAGUACAUGAAUCUUUAAAAAAAAAAAAAAAUUUUUUUUUUUUCAGAAAACAAAUAGACCGCUAAUAAGAGUGGGUGCUGAAGGGUUUUUCUCGUGGCCGUUUUGCUUAGGUUUCAAUUCCUUUUCUGCAAUGCUUUACGCACGGAGAAGAAAAGUCCUGCAAAUUGUCCGUUAAUCUCUAUGAGUACCAAGUCGCAUUUGUAAGCCUACCCACACACCUCUAAAUAUGCACACUAAAUAAAAAUGUAAAGAAAAAUUUAAG